GUAACAAGACGAAACACCCUGUCAGGCACUAAAGACGGGAGAACGGCUGUUUCCAAAUGCAGGUGAAGUGCUGGCGUUGAUUAUGAAUUACCUACCGGCUCCUUCAAGCUCUGACUCGCGCAGACAGAACUGGAUGUUACACUUCUUCAGUUAGAGAAUGAUACUACACAGUGACCAGUUCUGGGAAGUUCGAAGGAUCAAACCUCAAACUCAAAAAUGCAGAUGGAUUUGAAGUAGGUGGAGAUACUGGGUGGAGAUACCCCAAGUGGGCAGCACGGACAAAGUUUUAACCAAUCACGAAGGACUGUCCUUGUGUAUCCUCGAUGCUUCAACUUGUGCGGGAGCCUCCUCCUCGACUCUGGUUCAAAAAGAUACACUUGCGCUGCUGUGCUCUCAUCAGCCGCCGUGUUUUUUUUCCCAGGGUGCACGAUCACAGCACCUUCACCCGGCGGUGGAGGGUGAGUGCGGCAGACCGCUCAUUCUUAACAG